GGAAGGACAGCACAGCUGACAGCCGUGCUCAGAGAGUUUCUGGAUCCUAGGCUUAAUCUCCACAGAGGAGAACACACAAGCAGCAGAAACCAUGGGGCCCCUCUCAGCCCCUCCCUGCACACAGCGCAUCAAAUGGAAGGGGCUCCUGCUCACAGCAUCACUUUUAAACUUCUGGAACCCGCCCACCACAGCCCAAGUCACGAUUGAAGCCCAGCCACCCAAAGUUUCCAAGGGGAAGGAUGUUCUUCUACUUGUCCACAAUUUGCCCCAGAAUCUUACUGGCUACAUCUGGUACAAAGGGCAAAUGAGGGACCUCUACCAUUACAUUACAUCAUAUGUAGUAGACGGUCAAAUAAUUAUAUAUGGGCCUGCAUAUAGUGGACGAGAAACAGUAUAUUCCAAUGCAUCCCUGCUGAUCCAGAAUGUCACCUGGGAGGACGCAGGAUCCUACACCUUACACAUCAUAAAGGGAGGUGAUGAGACUAGAGGAGUAACUGGACGUUUCACCUUCACCUUAUACCUGGAGACUCCCAAGCCCUCCAUCUCCAGCAGCAACUUAAAUCCCAGAGAGACCAUGGAGGCUGUGAGCUUAACCUGUGACCCUGAGACUCCAGACGCAAGCUACCUGUGGUGGAUGAAUGGUCAGAGCCUCCCUAUGACUCACAGCUUGAAGCUCUCCGAAACCAACAGGACCCUCUUUCUAUUGGGUGUCACAAAGUAUACUGCAGGACCCUAUGAAUGUGAAAUACAGAACCCAGUGAGUGCCAGCCGCAGUGACCCAGUCACCCUGAAUCUCCUCCGUGAGUAUCUUCUGUUCCUCUGUGAGCCAGGCUGCCAUCCCAAAUACACGUGGCCAGAGGCCAGGCCUCUCUGUCCCUCUCAGGUCCAAUACAGAGACCUUUACCCCUGGACAUCAAACCUGGCCAUGACUUUGUGUCCCAGGCAAACCAGAGUAGGCCUAGGCUUGAUCAACAAUAGGAGAAAAGAGGCUGCUCCUGUCAUAGGAGACUCAGGGUCCACAGCUUGUGAUGGGAGAAACAGGUGAAUGUCUCAGGCUCCAGAUCAGUGAACACAGCGGGGAUUUGGCUGGGACUACAAUGUUGCAACUUGGCUCACAGGGUCACUGUGAUUGUGGCCCUUCCACAGACCAGGAUUUUCCCUUCCCUCUGACAAUAUUGCCUGUGACAUUAUUCCCUUUACUCCAUAUGGCCUGGAUGCCCCCACCAUUUCUUCCUCAUACACCUAUUACCAUACAGGGGAAGUCCCCAAGCUCUCCUGCCUCACAGACUCCAUCCACUGGCAGAGCAUUCUUGGCUGAUUGAUGGGAAGUUCCAGCAAUCAGCACAAGUGUUCUUUAUCCCCCAAAUCACUAAACAUAUAGAGGGGUCUAUGUCUGUUUCAUCCAUAACUCAGCCACUGGUGGAACAAAUCUCAUAAUCAAGAGGAUCAUAGUCCCUGGUAAGUAGAUCCCUGGAGCACUGGUAAUAUGUUUUCCAGUGAAGUCUAUCUAGCUAUCAGGGAAGAGCCACCUGCCCUCUGCAAACGGAGAGGGAAAAUCAAAAACCCAGGACAGGAAUAUGAUUCUGCUCCAAAACCACCAGCUUUUGCCUGUCCCCUUCACUCUUUCUAGAUCAUUCUUUAGACUAUACACUAACAAUGAACAAUCUGAAAGGAAAUU
rnacentral:sRNA from 1 species